CUUUGAUUUUGARCCAAUCAAAAAAGACCUUUCAACAAGGGAUCAUUUGUAAAACAAAAUAAACGAUCGCAGAGGUUCUUGGAUGCUCGUUAGUCUUUAAAUAUGGUGAGAUUAGUAUCAUUAGUACUCCAUUGGAGCUUUACUGGGAUUGAAUGUCCGUAUUUGUUCCAUUCACGAAAUGGUGUCCUUCUGUAUGUAAGUUUGAAGUCGGUGAAGUUUUGUCGAUUAAUAUCAGUCAUGUGUGGCUACUUUAGAUCAGAAUUUGCGUGAUUACUUCCAGAUAGAUCUAGUCUGAAUCUAGUCGCCAUUUUAUUGUUCUCUGAUAGCGGGUGUUCUCUGAUAUCCUCGUGGAGUGAAGUAAAAAAACCCGUCAAAUACGCUAAUAUACCUUGUACCCAAAGUAGCUUUUGGAGUAUUGCAAGAURAUCCUUUAUAAGGCAGUGGUAAUUAAAUUCAUUAAUUCCAGAGACAAACUGCAAGAGGCUAAGCUGAACUACAAUGUUUGCUACUGUAGACCUGACGGGAGACAGCGCAUAUUAGAUACUCUGUCAACUAUGGUUAAAAAAGUUACAUCUAACCCUAAAUGUAACAACCGUGCAUGUAAAAACAAAAAGAAAUUAAGUUCUUCUGCUAGUUCCGUUGGCUAUUAUACGUGUGUGAUGUUUCUCACUUUCUAAAGAUCUGAACAGACCUGCCCAGUACUUUUGACGAGGARUAAGAAAAAUAAACAAAAAAAGCUGAAACACUUACUCCGCGUCAUUCUUUUCACGUCUCUCCCUGAGCCUUAAUGAAGUUUUCAUUUUCAAAUAAGUAUGUUGUAUGUACGAUUAGAGUAUUUGAAUAUCAACUCUAGUGAUGUUAUUAUUGCCUCCUUCUAGAMUUGAGAUAAAGUAAUCGAUAAUAAACAUGCGACMAGAACAGGCACCKCAGAGUCGCCAUCACGAUUACAAUUGUCACCGACGACAAACAUUGCAGAUCAUUCCGAAAUGAAUAGCUCUUUGCAUGKCUUGAUAGAGCUACUUCUGUAGCCUCACUUGAGGAUURCAUUACUAACAAAAUACU